GUGACUCUCGCGCCGUGAUGUUAUGUGAUUUGAAAGUCACGCGGUAAAUUCGCGGGAGCUGGCUGCUAGUUGGCUAUAUAAGUAAAGCAGGCAGCGUGUCUGGGCAGUGCUUAGGUGACUCUCGCGCCAUGAUGUUAUGUGAUUUGAAAGUCACGCGGUAAAUUCGCGGGAGCUGGCUGCUAGUUGGCUAUAUAAGUAAAGCAGGCAGCGUGUCUGGGCAGUGCUUAGGUGACUCUCGCGCCGUGAUUUUAUGUGAUUUGAAAGUCACGCGGUAAAUUCACGGGAAGCUUGCUGACUUUGGCUAUAUAACUACAGUAGGCAUCGUGUCUGGCCAGUGCUUAGGUGACUCGCGCCGUGAUGUUAAGUGAUUUGAAAGUCACGCGGUUAAUUGGUGGGAGCUGACUGCUAGUUGGCUAUAUAAGUAAAGCAGGAAGCGUGUCUGGGCAGUGAAGCAGGCACCGUGUCUGGGCUGUGCUAGGUGACUCUCGCGCCGUGAUGUUAUGUGAUUUGAAAGUCACGCGGUAAAUUCGCGGGAGCUGGCUGCUAGUUGGCUAUAUAAGUAAAGCAGGCAGCGUGUUUCGCCAGUGCUUAGGUGACUCUCGCGCCGUGAUGUUAUGUGAUUUGAAAGUCACGCGGUAAAUUCGCGGGAGCUGGCUGCUAGUUGGCUAUAUAAGUAAAGCAGGCAGCGUGUCUGGGCAGUGCUUAGGUGACUCUCGCGCCAUGAUGUUAUGUGAUUUGAAAGUCACGCGGUAAAUUCGCGGGAGCUGGCUGCUAGUUGGCUAUAUAAAGUAAAGCUGGCAGCGUGUCUGGGCAGUGCUUAGGUGACUCUCGCGCCGUGAUGUUAUGUGAUUUGAAAGUCACGCGGUAAAUUCACGGGAAGCUAGCUGCUAGUUGGCUAUAUAGGUAAAGCAGGCAGCGUGUCUGGGCAGUGCUUAGGUGACUCUCGCGCCGUGAUGUUAUGUGAUUUGAAAGUCACGCGGUAAAUUCGCGGGAGCUGGCUGCUAGUUGGCUAUAUAAAUAAAGCAGCCUGCGUCCUUGGCCGGUGCUUCGGUGACUCUUGCGCCACGAUGAUGUGUGAUUUGAAAGUCACGCAGUAAAUUCGCGGGAAGCUAGCUGCCAGUGGGCUAUAUAAGUAAAGCACACAUCGUGUCUGGGCAGUGCUUAGGUGACUCUCGCGUCGUGAUGUUAUGAGAUUUGAAAGUCACGCGGUAAAUUC